AAUUGUGAAGAGAAGUCACUGCCACCAUCACUAGCUGCUUAGAUCUGAAAAGGAAAAGGCUGUUUUUUCAGUUGGCUGAAAUUGAAAUCUCAUGAGAACAGCUGCUGUCAUUUGAGUUCAGGCCAAGAUGGCAACAUUUGAGAAAAAAACAACUGAUCUUGUGAAUUUCCCACCACUUGGAACUGAAAUUUAGAGAUGCCAGCAUCCGAUAUUUUUAAGUACAGAGUCAAAGCUUAGGCAGGAAACUGAACUAUUGAAGCAGCUACGCAGCCACCACCUGUGUCAUCCUCUCACCCACACCUCAUCUCCAGGGUCUUUAAAGGUCCAGAAGCCCCAGAAAACUCCAUGUCCAGAAAUGGUGGACAACAACCACCACUGAUUGCUGGCCACCAUUUUGAACCAUGGAGCUUUCUGGAGAUUGCAAGGAACCUGACACUUCAAAAGGAAAACUCCACUUGGCAGGAGGCAACUUUCUCAUAGAUCAGCUGAAAUGAGGACUUUAAGUCUCACUAGGUGUGGAGAAAAAGUGGAGAAAAAUCUACAGAAAACUGUAUCAAUUUUUUUCCUAGACUGAUUAGAAACCAGCUUCUAAUGAGUCAGUGCACAGAAACUGGCCCUUAUCAACCAGUUCAACAGCUGUUACCAGUAGGACAUUCAAAGCCCUUGAGACUUUUGAAUUUUUCAGACAGUGUUCAAGGCUUUGGACCCACACCCAGAAGAUCACAACCAUGAAGCUCACCAGAAGCACUUUGUUCAUGCUUCCUUCAAAGCAAGGAAGGUCUCAUUGGAUCAUAGAAUCAUUCAGGCUGGAAAAAGCCCCCAGGAGGUCAUAGAGUCCUAGCAUUAAGCCAGCACUGCCAAGUCCACCACUUAUCCACAACCCUGUGUGCCACAUCCACAGACAUCUCAUGGACGAGAUGUUUGUGCUACAUCUCACAGACAGCACCAUCCUCCGCACAGUGAACAACAGGAGACCAAAAAGUGAACAGGGAAGCAGCUGCAGUUCAGUGGGAUUGAGCCUAUUCCUUAUUAUUUGCUCCUGUAAGUACUUCAGAGCUCCAAAAUUCUAAAACUCAGGAUUAUUGACAACAGCCAGAGCCAGCAUGCACACAAUGCAGAGAUGCCAACCUACAUACAGUUGAGGUUUGCUUGCAUGGCUUAAGUGGUUUAGUGGGCCGGGUAUGCUGUGUAAAUACAAAAUCAAAACAGAAAGGCAGAUCAACUUUUGCCUCCUCACUUGAUUUUGAAAAAAAAUAGAAUGUUUUUAAUGCCAAAAGGUAAAUAAAAUAGGAGCAUCCCAAUGACUAAAGAAGAAUUCCCCAGCUAUACUUCAGACUCAGUAAGGGAAUACUAAUUACCAGAUAAAAUGACAGCAAAAUUGUAACUUCAGUGUUAGUAAAUAUUUUGAUUUUAUUUAUUGUUGUUUGAAUUACAAGUAAAAAAACUGAUUAUUUAUGACACUUUCUUUUAAUGCAACUAAGAAAUUGAGGUACUCAAAUAGGCCUUCCUUUAAAAAAGGAACAGAUUUCCAAACACUGACAACCUUGAAAAUCCUCUAAGGUGUUGCAUCUAAGAGCUAUCUUAUUUCAAUGACAGUUUUAAAAAUCAAGGCCACUGUCCUUAAUAUUUUUUUUCUAUAUUGGUGAACAGCUAUGGGGUUCUGGUCUGGAAAGUGCUAAAGGACUGUGAGGAAUCAUCAAAACCAAUUGUCUUGAACAGAUACUGCAACUAUGUGCUGAAGUGAAGCACAUGAAAAUUAAAACUACAAUGGUAAUAAAAGAGGCAUGUUUCAACCGGGAGGAAACUAACAUCAUAUUUCAAACACCUAAUGGUAAGCAGCAAAAAUAGGUAACAUACAAUGUCAGCAUGCUACUGAAUUGCAUUA